CUUCCCCAGCACCAGGGUUGAGCAUUCUUUUCUGUUUGUUCCAAGGUGCCAUAUGUCCCUAGCUUGAGUCUUUCCCACCUACCUCACCAGUUACUGUGAAAGACAAAGUCUCAUGUGGUGGAAUGAGCAUUGGUUUUCAUGGCUGAUCUGGAUUUGAAUCCCACUUCUGACACUUACUAGCUGUAUCUGAAAAUAAAUUGGCAAUUUCUUGAUUGGGCCUUCUGACAGCACCCAAGCCCCAAGGACUCAUCACAUUGGUUCCUGAUUUAGUGUGGAUACUUGAUCAUCUUUAGCCCUACUGCAGUUAAGAACUCAAAAACUCAAGCAAGCCAUUAGCCUCAGUAUCCCCAGUAUCAGUGACUAAAGGGAUAUGCCACCAUAUCUGAAUAUCCUUCUAUAUUAUUACCGUGAGUUGUUUGCUUGACACAUGCUGAGAUCCUUUCAAAGUACAGUAAUGAUAUGUACUCUUCCAAAAACGAACAGUUGUAAGUAAUUUUGUAGGACUUCUUACAAUGAACAGCCUUUCCAAGGAAAAUGUUGCUUAGUUUCCCUGUACCAUUUCGAGCUCAUUCCAGCACAUCCAGAUCAUACUUCUGGUCAGAGAUCUUCAGCCAAGAGGAAUAACAGAGCACAGGACAAAAUUACUUUUAUUUGCUCAAAGACAGCUGAAACAAGAAAGUAAAAUUUGGGGUCUGGUGGGGAAUGGCUUUAGGAAUCUGGAUUUACCAGAUCGUGUGCCCAGUGUUAUAAAAGGUUACUAUUUCCUUACUCUUUUCUGUCCUACAUACAGCUUGAUAAUGACUUAAAAUAAUUAUCAAUGCUCCAGUCAACCUCAAGGUUUAAGGACAUUCAACAAAUAAUUAUUUAGGGACGAGUUUGUCAUUUUGUUGUAAAUGAAUGAAUAAAUUCACUCACUAAUGUGCUGGGAACUGUAGGGGAUAUAAUUGAAGUCUAAGAUGAUGUCCUGCUCUAAGGGAGCUUAUUAUCUAGUGGGGAAAAUUAAAGUAAACAUGAGAGGAUUUAGAGAACAAAGCAGGGGAUUUUGUAAGUUGGUAAUUUGGACUGUCAGAGGUGUUCAGAGAAGAGUAAGAUGGCAAUGGACUGGCGUAACCUACCACAGUCAUUUGUUAAUUUGGCUCAAUAUUUUAAUUUUAUGUAUCUAUAUUUGUUUUAAGUAUAAUAUAAAAUAUAUUCUAUAAAACACAUAAUAUUACUCAUAACAUGGAAUAUAAGCUAAAGUGUGUUUCAUUUUAUUUAUCUAUAUAUUUUUGGAAUGGCUUAGAAUAAAUUCUCAUCUAACACUG